rnacentral:rRNA from 1 species
GUCAGCUCGUGUCGUGAGAUGUUGGGUUAAGUCCCGCAACGAGCGCAACCCCUUUUAUCAGUUGCCAACAGGUAAUGCUGGGAACUCUGAUGAUACUGCCGGUGAUAAGCCGGAGGAAGGUGGGGAUGACGUCAAGUCCGCAUGGCCUUUAUGUCCGGGGCUACACACACGCUACAAUGGUCGGUACAAUGGGUUGCUAAGCCGCGAGGUGGAGCCAAUCCCCCAAAGCCGGCCUCAGUUCAGAUUGCAGGCUGCAACUCGCCUGCAUGAAGCUGGAGUUGCUAGUAAACGCGCGUCAGCCUAUAGUGCCGUUGAAUACGUUACUCGGGACCUU